GGAUGUGAGGAUAAUCUAGCUGUAACAUCUGUCACCCCACUGAUUACCAGUCUUGACUGAAUUGAUCUGGCAUGUGUCUCUUCCUUCUUCACCACUCCAUGUUAUCCCUCCUGAAGCUAUGCACUCAUUCAAAGACGAAGUCCUUCUGCAACAGAGGAGGACUGUUCUUCAGUCAAGGGUGUAUGAGUUUGCACUCCCAUGCUAGAACCUCCCAUCAAGGUCUCAGGGUCCAUUUUUAUUAGGAGAAUAUAGAUCAGUCAAGCUCCCAAGACUCCAGACACAUCCAAAUGAAGUGCAUCAUGUGACAGUCUGCUUUUCAUU
ensembl:misc_RNA 7SK 7SK RNA